rnacentral:rRNA from 1 species
GUNUNAAANACUGGGCGUUAAGGGCACGUAGGCCGUUCAUCGGGUUUGAAAGUGAAAGUCGCCAAAAAGUGGCGGAUUGCUUUUGAAACCAAUGAACUUGGGUAAGAUAGAGGAGAGUGGAAUUUCGUGUGUAGGGGUGAAAUCCGGAGAUCUACGAAGGAAGGCCAAAAGCGAAGGCAGCUCUCUGGGUCUCUACCGACGCUGAUGUGCGAAAGCAUGGGGAGCAAACAGGAUUAGAUACCCUGGUUAGUCCACCAG